rnacentral:rRNA from 1 species
GAUGAACGCUGGCGGCGUGCCUAAUACAUGCAAGUCGAGCGAACGUCAUAGAAGCUUGCUUCUAUGACGUUAGCGGCGGACGGGUGAGUAACACGUGGGCAACCUGCCUGUAAGACUGGGAUAACUUCGGGAAACCGAAGCUAAUACCGGAUAGGAUCUUCUCCUUCAUGGGAGAUGAUUGAAAGAUGGUUUCGGCUAUCACUUACAGAUGGGCCCGCGGUGCAUUAGCUAGUUGGUGAGGUAACGGCUCACCAAGGCAACGAUGCAUAGCCGACCUGAGAGGGUGAUCGGCCACACUGGGACUGAGACACGGCCCAGACUCCUACGGGAGGCAGCAGUAGGGAAUCUUCCGCAAUGGACGAAAGUCUGACGGAGCAACGCCGCGUGAGUGAUGAAGGCUUUCGGGUCGUAAAACUCUGUUGUUAGGGAAGAACAAGUACGAGAGUAACUGCUCGUACCUUGACGGUACCUAACCAGAAAGCCACGGCUAACUACGUGCCAGCCGCCGCAGUAA